CUCUGACCAAUGUUGUCAAAUAAAAACCUUGCUUUGAGCAUAACAUCCUCAAGGUGGUCUGAAAUUCUAUUAGAGGAAGGUGCAAGUACUCUUCUGUGGAAGUUCAUUUUAUGCUUUGACUGCUAUAUCUACAAGUUUUAUAAUCAAUAUGCUAGUGUUCUGAAGUUGAUGUGUUAAUAAUCAAAUGUUUUAAUGUUUAUUCUACUUAAAACAUAAUAGAUGGAGACCAGCAGCGUGGCAGCAGGAGCUAAUGUUGGUUGUGAUGAGGCAUAUACCACCAUCAACAAUGCUGCAAUUGCAGUCACCACCACCACUGCUGCCACCACCAUCAGUGCUGCUAAUGCCACCACCACCAAGUCUGCUUCUGCCACUGCCAUCACCAUUGCCACUACCAAGACCACUCCUGACACAAAGCCCCCAAGUCCUCAACUGACCAGAUAUUGCAGCUGGAGAAGGAUAGACCAGGAACUUCAAAGCCAGGGCUUGCCGGUCUCCUACAAUAAGAAAAAUGCCAAGGGCCCAUCUAAAGAACUUGUAGCAGAAUAUUUGGCCACAGUUGUAGAAAUGCAGAGACUAACAAACUACCACAGGUGAGGCUUUGUCCGCAGUUCCAGAAAGACACAAGAUGGUAUCAGAAAGCCAUGCCAAAAUCAAUGACUGAAGGGUUUGGAGAGCCAGAUAAAGAGCCUAGAAAUGUGAUUUAACAGUACUUCAAUCACAUGAGCAGUAGCAGGAGCAAAAACAGCAGCAAACACACGGGAGAUGUAACGACUACAUUGACCAACAACUACAGCAGCUUCCCACAAUUUCU
rnacentral:misc_RNA from 1 species